UAUACCAGUACAUGUAUGAUGAUAACUUGACACCUCUUAUCUGACUAUUUUCAUGAGGUCCUCCUUUUAUCUGAUUUAGUACUGGUACCAUACUAUUUAUUUAAUUAUUGGUUUCUAGUUUUUUUCCCUAUAUUAAAUUUUUACUUUACUUUUGCAGUUAACAUGAAAUACAAGAUGCAAGAUAUUCUUGCAAUGUCAUGAUGUGGUACUCCCAAUAACAUCCUAAUGUAUUGUUUUUGAAUACACUGGAAUUUUAGUUGUCAGAUCAAGAUUGUUUUAAAAGAACUACAAUAUAAAGUAAUAUAAAACAUGAAAUACAAGAUGCAAUAUAUUCUUGCUAUGUCAUGAUGUGGUGCUCUCAACAUCCUAAUGUAUUGUUUUUGAAUACACUGGAGUUUUAGUUGUCAGAUCAAGGUUUGCUUAUAAUGUUACAAGUAAUUCUGCUGUGACAAACUGGGAAAUGCUUGAAAAGAGGUAAAUUUCACUUUAGCAUCUUGUAAAUACAAUCUCAGUGUUAAAUGUUUGUGUGAUGAAAUCUGACACCUCUACUGAUAUAAGGGUGAUGAAAUUUUAUUUUCUGACAUAAACUUUUGUUUCUUUCAUUAAGUCAUAUUUAAAUGGUUCAAAGUCAUAUUUAAAUGGUUCACUUUUAUUUUUUGUUUCAUACACAUUUGCAGUGAUAUACAGAAUACCAUCAAGUAAAUAAGUAUUUGAAGCUGAUGUCUUGAAACUAUGAAGAAAGACAAAGAAACUUUUGUAAAAUGAUGCUGUCCUGAAUGCUGUAUAGUAUAUCAAGAGAGUAUUGUAUAAAAAGUUGUGGCUUUCCUGUUCAGGAUUAUAUUGAACAAUAAACACAUUAAAGUUUUAUAAAAUAAUGGCUGCAUUUUUGUUCAAACUAUACAAUUCUUGGUUAUUAGUUGGUUAGACUCUAGAGGAAAAAUUAAAAUAUCUAGGUAAAACUAAUGGCUUUAAUUGAUCUUAAUCCUCGCAGUGGUUUACAGAUCAGGCAGUCCUCCGUAUAGUUUUUAUUCUAUAAAGAGGGUUUUGUUUAGGCCUCUUCAUAUGGUAUGCAACAUUGACUGAAAGGGGAACUUCCUUUUUAUAGAAUAAAUAAUUAUAUAAAAUAAUAUGACAUUUGAAAAAUGUAUACAGGUACCGUAUCUGAUAAAAGAUCACAAAACUAUCAUGCUAAUUUAUCUUAAUAAAAUAAAACAACCUAAGUCUUAUGCUUCUAACUAGUGAUUACAAGUACUCUUAAACAUUGUCUGUUUCAUAAACUGUUUUUCGGAAUAUUGGUAAUUGACUAGUUGUAUUUCAUAUUAUCCGUAGAGUUAAUUAAUUUUUACUUUCAAAAUAGUGUAAUACCGUAAUAAAUUCGAUUACCAGUUUACUUUUUAAAAAAUGUAAUUGAACUUCUGAUAUUUUAAAUAUUUCUACUUAAUAAAUGGUCACUGUCUCAAGUGCUGAGAUAUCUCUUAUGCAUAUUGAGGCGAAUGUUGACAUUUAGUCAAUUCACUGCUAAGAGCUAAAAAUGAAAAAAAAAAAA
rnacentral:sRNA from 1 species